UACGGAGGGUGCAAGCGUUAUCCGGAUUUACUGGGUUUAAAGGGUGUGUAGGUGGCGCCGUAAGUCGGGUGUGAAAUUUCGGAGCUUAACUCCGAAACUGCAUUCGAUACUGCGGUGCUUGAGGACUGGAGAGGAGACUGGAAUUCAUGGUGUAGCAGUGAAAUGCGUAGAGAUCAUGAGGAAGACCAGUGGCGAAGGCGGGUCUCUGGACAGUUCCUGACACUGAGACACGAAGGCCAGGGGAGCAAACGGG
rnacentral:rRNA from 1 species